rnacentral:misc_RNA from 1 species
UGGAAGUAAAAGUCGUAACAAGGUUUCCGUAGGUGAACCUGCGGAAGGAUCAUUAAAAAAUGUGGUACCAAUUAUUGGUACUAAAUUAAUCAUCCUACCCUUUGUGAAUUUGUUUGUAAGAAUUUUUUUAAAUGGGUCUUUCCCUAAGUUGGAUUGUUAGUAAAAUACAAAAGACUUAGGGGAAUGACUUUUUUAAAAGACUUUUUUUUAAAUUAAAACUUUUUGUAUCAUUUGUCUAAAAUUUAUUUUUAUAAUAUAAAAACAACUUUUGACAAUGGAUCUCUUGGUUCUCGCAACGAUGAAGAACGCUAGCAAAAUGCGAUAAGUAGUGUGAAUUGCAGAAUACGUGAAUCAUCGAAUCUUCGAACGCAUAUUGCACUUUUUUAGUUUACUAAAAAAGUAUGUCUGUUUGAGUAUCAGUAAAAAUAUUCUCACAAACAUAUAUUGUUUGUGGUAUGAGUGUUUUUACAACGAUAAACAAGUUGUUUCACUUUAAAUUCCUUUUGUAAGUUUUACUACCAAUUUACAAAUUUAAAAUUGGAUAAAAUUUUCCUUUAACGAGGAAUAACCUAAACAAUUUUAAAUUUUUUGGUUCGUAAAUCCAUGAAAGGAAUCUAUACAUAAAUAACUUGAUCUCAAAUCAGAUAAGAGUACCCGCUGAACUUAAGCAUAUCAAUAAGCGGAGGAAAAGAAACUAACAAGGAUUCCCUUAGUAACGGCGAGUGAAGCGGGAAGAGCUCAAAUUUGAAAAUCUUCAAGGUUUCGACCUUGACGAAUUGUAGUAUUAAGAAGUGUUUUCUGUUGGAGUUUUGGUAAAAGUUCUUUGGAAUAGGACAUCAUAGAGGGUGAGAAAUCCCGUAUUUGACCAUGACUUUCCAGCUGUGUGAUUACACUUUCAAAAGAGUCGGAUUGUUUGGGAAUGCAGUCCAAAAUGGGUGGUAAAUUUCAUCUAAAGCUAAAUAUUGGCGAGAGACCGAUAGCGAAACAAGUACCGUGAGGGAAAGAUGAAAACGAACUUUGAAAAGAGAGUUAAACAGUACGUGAAAUUGUCAAAAGGGAAGCGUUUGACACCAGUGUUGUUUUCUCGAAAAUCAAUUUAAUGAGUUCUUGUUUUUAAGUUAUUGUGACUUUAUCAGCGCAUUUCUUAUUUUACUUGACUCAUUGAAUGCACUUUUCGUUUAACAAGUCAACAUCAAUUUCUUUGGUGGUAAAAAGUUUAAAGGAAGGUGGCUUGGACUUCGGUUCAAGUGUUUAUAGCCUUUUUUCUAUGCCAUCGGAGAGAUUGAGGUCUGCAGCGUAGAUCCUUCGGGGUUAGAUACCUUUGUGCUAAGUUAUAGUUUUUAUAGACAACUUGUUGACUAUAAUAACCCUGUAAUUUACUCGCUUAGGCUAUUUUACCUACGCUUAGGAUGUUGAGU